UACGUAGGGCGCAAGCGUUGUCCGGAAUUAUUGGGCGUAAAGAGCUCGUAGGCGGCCUGUUGCGUCCGCUGUGAAAACCCGGGGCUUAACCCCGGGCUUGCAGUGGAUACGGGCAGGCUGGAGUUCGGCAGGGGAGACUGGAAUUCCUGGUGUAGCGGUGAAAUGCGCAGAUAUCAGGAGGAACACCGGUGGCGAAGGCGGGUCUCUGGGCCGAUACUGACGCUGAGGAGCGAAAGCGUGGGGAGCGAACAGG
rnacentral:rRNA from 1 species